rnacentral:rRNA from 1 species
UACGAAGGGGGAGCGAGCGUUGUUCGGAAUUACUGGGCGUAAAGCGCGCGCAGGCGGUCCUUCAAGUCAGAGGUGAAAGCCCAGAGCUCAACUCUGGAAUGGCCUUUGAGACUAGAGGACUUGGGUACGGGAGAGGUGAGUGGAAUUCCGAGUGUAGAGGUGAAAUUCGUAGAUAUUCGGAAGAACACCAGUGGCGAAGGCGGCUCACUGGCCCGUUACCGACGCUCAGGCGCGACAGCGUGGGGAGGCAAACAGG